AGAGCGAACGCUGGCGGCAGGCUUAACACAUGCAAGUCGAACGGACUCUUCGGAGUUAGUGGCGGACGGGUGAGUAACACGUGGGAACGUGCCUUUAGGUUCGGAACAACACAGGGAAACUUGUGCUAAUACCGGAUAAGCCUUUCGAGGGAAAGAUUUAUCGCCUUUAGAGCGGCCCGCGUCUGAUUAGCUAGUUGGUGAGGUAAAGGCUCACCAAGGCUACGAUCAGUAGCUGGUCUGAGAGGAUGGCCAGCCACAUUGGGACUGAGACACGGCCCAAACUCCUACGGGAGGCAGCAGUGGGGAAUCUUGCGCAAUGGGCGAAAGCCUGACGCAGCCAUGCCGCGUGGAUGAUGAAGGUCUUAGGAUUGUAAAAUCCUUUCAGCGGGGACGAUAAUGACGGUACCCGCAGAAGAAGCCCCGGCUAACGUUCGCGCCAGCAGCCGC
rnacentral:rRNA from 1 species